rnacentral:tRNA from 1 species
CGCUAAGAAGCUAAACAGGACUAGCGCUAGCCUUUUAAGCUAGAGACUGGUGAUUACCGACCACCCUUAGCGA